CACCAAUGAAUUUUGAAUCAGAUAUGGCAGAAGUUGGCUGUAUGACAUAUGAAUUGGAUCGAGAGGAGCAUUCCUUCUUUCCAGAUUGUUUCGAGGCCUAGAUUGGUUCAGAGGCUGAUUUUGAUAUCCUUGACCACGAGAUCGUUGAUUUGCGUAAGGAGCAGACCAUGGUUGCUGGUAUGGUGCUCUCUGCGUUGUC
rnacentral:lncRNA from 1 species